GGCUACAAGCUACGGUAUAGAAGGACCUCACCAAAGAGUGGUGGAACAACAAAUUAAACGCAUCAAAGAUGAGGAUCUGUUGCUUCUCAACCUUGAGGACGAAUCCCUUUUGCUCUCUCGCAAGUUCUCUUCUCCAAUCUUCCUUCUCCAUCUCUCUAUUCUUCUCCUCGUGGAGGCUGCACUUUGAAAUCUCAUAGCUCUGUCUCUUAUGCUAAGGGGGUGUUUGGGAGGAGGGGGCUAAAUUUUAGCCCCCGUCACAUCGAAUGUUUGGACACUAAUUAGGAGUAUUAAACCUAGACUAAUUACAAAACUAAUUACACAACCCCUAGGCUAAAUCGCGAG
rnacentral:lncRNA from 1 species